CCGGUGUCAUGGCGCUAAAGUCUGUGUCCUGCACACGUUGCUGAGAGCUCCUCAGUUUGCUGGGCCACCUCUGUGGCUUCUACUGGCUGCACGCUGCAUGGGAAGAACUCCGGGAGACCCUGAGGCCACGCAAUGAUCAAGGCAAGUGUUUUGAGCAGGUUUAAAAGAUCCAAGGCUUGACAGUGAUGUUUGAUUGAUCAGGAAGCAGUGACCUUUGAAGAUGUGGCUGUGAAUUUCACCAUGGAGGAGUGGACUUUGCUGAAUCCAUCCCAGAAGAAGCUCUACAGAGAUGUGAUGAGGGAGACUUUUAGGAAC